UGGGGAAUCUUGCGCAAUGGCCGAAAGGCUGACGCAGCGACGCCGCGUGGAGGAUGACGCCCUUCGGGUGUAAACUCCUGUUGCCCGGGACGAAUGCCCCUUUUGAGGGGAGUGACGGUACCGGGUGAGGAAGCACCGGCUAACUCUGUGCC
rnacentral:rRNA from 1 species